CUUCCAGUAGCACCUUAGAGACCAACUAAGUUUGUUACUGGUAUGAGCUUUUGUGCAUGCACACGAAAGCUCAUACCAGUAACAAACUUAGUCUCUAAGGUGCUACUGGAAG
rnacentral:miRNA from 1 species